AUUGGCCAAAGUUUUAACCAACCAAAUAAUGAAAACAUCCCACUCCUGUGAACACCACCUGCCUCUGAUUAGCAAACCAUGCUUCUGUGACUAAACACUAUUGAUCCUUCCACAAGUGUUCGGACACAUCUUGUUUUCCGUGUGUGGAGCUUUGAGGAUAUUUGACCUGCUUUCUCAUCACUCAGAAAUAUGGUAAUGAGAACAUUCUCCAAUACACGGAGAGACGAUAUUUACAGCGGCUGGAUAUCAUGUCGUUUGCUAAUGUGUAGAAGGGGUGAAGAAAACUCAAACAGACUGCUUUAAUCGUGCAACUCAGAGCUACAGGACACGGAGAAGAAAGGAAAGGGACGAGAUGAGAGUUUGUCACAGGAGGAGGAAGAAGUGUGCGGGUGUGUUUUAUUUGCAGUUUGAUGGAGGCACAUAAUCUCCAUUCACUUGACCACUUGCGUCACCCCUCGACUUUAAUUUCCACAUUUCCCAAGGCCGUCCGGUGCCCACCGCAGCGUUGAUACCUUUCAGCUCCUCUUGAGCACACACACAAUCCUGAAGUGAAAAAAAAAUCACAAAGAGAGACUGAAAUGGAGUUGCAGGGCUAGAAUGUAAUUAUUUCCUGUUUUGUGUGCUGUUGCCAUAUAAGGGCAAAGGGUGGGGACAGUCCACUUUGAAUGACAGCUGGCUCAUCGAAUCAGAGCUGCCAGAUUUUUGUAUUCUACUUUAUUCUAACACAAACCUUCAGUAAAAAUGUUUGAAAAUAAAGACAUGAACGAUUUGUUGGAAGCUUAA